rnacentral:lncRNA from 1 species
UGCAGGGCCGAGGUCCCCUCUCUGAAGGCACGGCUCCCGGGGCAGCAGAGGAGAAUGCCAGUUUGGAUCAAAGCCCCUGGCUCAGCCAUCAGUAAGGGAGGAGAAGGAGCAGCAUCUCGGUCCUCGUGGGCUGAUGUCUUCGAAUGAAAUGAAGGAGAGACCAAACACGCACCAAAAAUGUGCCAAGGAAAUGCAGUACUGCUCUGUGAGAGUGCAAGGACGCUGCUCUUAACCAGUACUUCAUGUACUGAUUCUGAAAUUUUGAUAACUUUGGCGGAUGUUGCAUGCUGGGAACACUGAGCUUUGAUAUCUAAUUGUUGUAGUGCUAUUGCUCCUAAGUAUUAAGUGUAAAUGGGGAAACAAUAUUCUUAUAUUCACGCUAUCGUUUCCUUACAUGUGCUUUUUCUUACAUGCAUUCAUUUUUGUUGUCAAGUGGAAUCUGUACUCAUGUAAUCUGUACCAUGCCAGGCUGUGU